UGGGGAAUAUUGGGCAAUGGGCGAAAGCCUGACCCAGCAACGCCGCGUGAGGGAAGAAGGUUUUCGGAUUGUAAACCUCUGUCCUCAAGGAAGAAGCAAGUGACGGUACUUGAGGAGGAAGCCCCGGCUAACUACGUGCCAGCAGCCGCGGUAAUACGUAGGGGGCGAGCGUUGUCCGGAAUGACUGGGCGUAAAGGGCGCGUAGGCGGCCGUACAAGUCUCACGUGAAAGUCCUGCUUUCAAGGUGGGAAUUGCGUGGGAAACUGUAUGGCUUGAGUGCGGAAGAGGUAAGUGGAAUUCCCAGUGUAGCGGUGAAAUGCGUAGAGAUUGGGAGGAACACCAGUGGCGAAGGCGACUUACUGGGCCGUAACUGACGCUGAUGCGCGAAAGCGUGGGGAGCGAACA
rnacentral:rRNA from 1 species